UUUUUUUUAUUAUUUUCUGUGUGCAAUUCUUCCCCAACACACACAAUUCCAAACGCUCCUCAGCGUUACAUUAAGGGGGCUGACCUACUUUGAGCCAAUGGCGGCAGCAGCGCCACAGCGCGGAACCACAGCAACGGGCCCGACCCGCCCCCUGAGGCGCCUCAACUCACCUCACGGCACCUCAGCACUGCAAUGAGUUCUGCUGAACGAACCGUGAUCUGCCCCUCCGUUGUUGUUAUUAUUUUUUCCAGGGGUUUUUAAUGAAUGUGGGAGAGGUUUGGAGCAGCUCUGUGGAGAUGGCAGAGGAAGUUUUCUCUUCCUCUUCUUGGGCAGCUCCAAGAGGCGAUCGUUGCAGCUCUCAGAAAUAAAACCGGUUAGUGCUGAUGUGCUGCAAGCUGAAAGAUUGAUCAUUUCAAGCUUUAUAGCCAGUCCUGACUGUGACAGCAGAUCAAACACAUGCACCCGUCUGGACAGCUGACCUGGGUUGAACUCAGUGUUACUCUCAAUAACGACUGCAUUUUUGGAAUUAAUACGUUGUUAUAUUUUUUAAAGCAACCAUAACCUCAUCAAGCAUUAACCAGCCUCUCCAGGCUGUUCCAAGCACCUGGUGCCCUUGGUGAAUUGCUUAGACCCCACAGGUGUGUCUAUGUGAAAUGAGAUGACACAGCUGUGCUGAGACAAGCCUCAAAGUCAUUGGCCUGUUGUGCAGUUGGACACUGAUCUGACCAAAUGUGACCAAGGGUAACUCCCAGCUGGGGUCGGUGGGAGAAACAAUUUGAUCCUUUAUCCGUGCUCAGCUCCUAUUCCUCUCUCACUUUUGGCUCGCGUGCAGCAGGAAGGCAGUUAGGAAUAGCUGUUCUUUACAUGCUUAGGCUGUUUGAUUUUGGAACUUGGCACUGGUUUUACUGGAGAUAGAAGAGCACCCACAAGCAGAGAAUGAAACAUCCCAUCCCCAGGCAGAUCUGCAACAGGAGGAAGGAGUGAAAGGAAGCCUGACCUGCUGCAAAACUGGGACAAGUCCUGCAGACAACAAUCGACCUUCCAAACAAAGGCAUUAGAAGUCAGCAAUGAAAGAUUCAUCGUAGCAGCACACAUUGUAAAAGAACAGCUAGCAGUGCAGGAGUGCUGGUUACUAACCUGUGUGCAGCUUAUCCUAAAGGACUGGAUCCAUUAAGGCUUGCAGAUUGCCUUUGGAGAACAUGGUCCUACACUCUGAUAAUAAGUUGGAAAUCUCUGAUGGGGAUUAACACCAGCGCUUAUGGCUGAAGCCCUCUCAAUGAAUUCUGUUCACAUCGACGCAGACUCUGAAAACUCCAGUCCAACACACGCCACAGUCACAAUGGCAGGUGUGUUUGUCUUCAAAAUGGGGAAAGGAGCGGUUUCAGUUCUCAAAGAGAAACAAAGUUCAUCUCAGCUACAGAAGCACCGGGAACGGGAAGAAUACAGCAAACAACUGUGCUAUACUGAGUCUGUCUGCUUCAGCACAUGGAGGCUGCUCUUUUAAGCCCAGAGGGAAUACUGAUGACCCAUCCAUUAGCUAGGCACUGGCCUGAUCCUGUGCAGCUGCACCAACUACUGGGGCUGCCACGUACCACUGACAAUUUGAGAGACACGCAGCUGCUUUCUGCCGAGCUCCACAGCAAGAAUGGACCAAAGUAAGUAGUAAAGAAAUACUUCUUUUGUUUUAAAGCAAGAAUUGUGAGAAUACAUAAAAAUCGACACCCUUCCAGCCUGUUACAAAAGCCACUGCAACUACACCUGAGUAAAAGAAGGGUUUUAUUUAUAGACAGAUGUGACUUCAGAACCAGUAAAACAAUUAUGGCAGAUGUUCCUAGAAACUAUGACAGGUGCCUUUUUCCAUAAUAAAUCUAAAGAAAAGUACAUUCAUGGUGUGCCAAAAUUAGCAUAUUUAUUUUAUCCUAAUUGUGAAAGAUUCCAACAUCCCAACAAUUGUACCAGCCACUAAUAGCAACCAAAAUCACCAUCCACAAUCCGUUCAUGAUAUACAUGCUUCACAGGAUCAGGUAACAGAUUUAGCAUGAGACCCUUCUAUAUUUUAUGCCUCAUUCAGGUCUCCUUCAUAAGCACCAAGCAAUUAUGUUUUGCUCUUGCAAAUUAUCAAUAGACUUUUGAAAUCUUCCUAUUCCACUCUUUGCAAUCAAUGUCCUUUGUGCCUCUUUCCAUUUCAGUUACCACAUUUGUGCACCACAUACACCAUGUAUGUCUAAGUAACUCUGUUAGCCCUCAGCUUCUCACUCCUACCUACUGAAAACAGUGAAAAAAUGUGCCAACUGAAGGAACUGACAGAGCAGCACACCACCCCUCCUAUACAGGAUGAGCACUGAUGGCUUCAGCAUGCACUGACACUCUCCCUGCCACCAGUAUUAAUCCUCUCUCAGGGUACUCCUAACUGCAUAGCCAUGGAAAAUUAACUCAGCAUUAACUGCACAAACAGCUUUGGUUGAGCUUCCUGCUGUAACAGUUGCCUAAUUUUUUGGUUCCUGAAAUGACAAACAGUUGCUCCCUGACUGGUGUUCAGACACAGUGCACCCUGGCAGACAUCUAGGCACCCUCCUCUCCUGACAACCAGCAUCCCGGGCUGACCUGUGCUAGCAGGUCAAAUACAGCCUGGAGUCUGAGACACUAUCUGGAAUGGAGAACAUAUGGGUUCAGUUCCUGUCUCACUUAUUUCCUCUGACUGGGAGCAAUUUGCACCUUCAUGUUACAAAACUGAGAAGUAUUUUGGUCUUUUUUUUCCCCCCUCAUGUUAAGGGCUUCAUACUGCAUUAAGUAUUAAUACAUGUAACAAAAUUCUAAGCAUUUUGUUGACAGAAAUUAAGAUGAGGGAACUUAGGAAGUACCUACCAUCCAGCACAGUUGUUGAUUGUAAUCUACAGAGUUCUGGCUGUAGUUUCCAUAGUUACUGAGAGCAAGUAUGGGAAAAGGCACAAAGUCAUUUAAUUUUUUCAUAGCUGGGUCACAGUAUGAACUGAGCACAUGCAAAGACUUUUAAAGAUCUGUCCUUUAAUGAAGUCUUCUUAUCAGAGAUGCUGAAAAUUUACUUAACAAGUCUGUCCUAAUCUUGUUAGAGCAUCUGUAUUUUAAGGCAUAAUAAUAUCACUUACUUGUUUUUCAUUAUUAAAAUGUUUUGAUUAGAAAGUCAGUACAGACAGUGCCUAUUCAAAAGCUGAUUCAUCUUUUCUCAUUAAAGGUAAGUGAACGGAGAAAGAAUAAAUUGCUUUUCUAGCAGCAACAACCGAGUUCUAAAAUCUAGGUCACAUUAAAGAACUCUUAAAUACAGGCUUUACACAUCAAAUUGUCUUUUUCAUUGCUGUGAAACACUGGGAAUAAAACACACGCUCAAUCACCAGUAAAUUAGCUGGCAAUUUGUGCACAAUUGAUACUUUAAAUACUUCUUUUUAAACGUGAUCAGACAAUAAAAUUAUUCUGUCCUUCUAAGUUCUAAGCCGCCUUUUAUCUGGCUUCUCUGCUUGUACAUAACCACAGUUUGGAAUGUUCUGAUUUUUGAACACAAAUUUAAACCUGUGGGUCUAAUUUCUAGAUCCUGUAAGAAUAUCCACAAGGAAGACCAGUUAGGUGAAAGCGUUAUUCCUCUCAAUGAAAAGUGGUUUUAGUCCAUGUCAGGAAAAAACAGGUAUAACUUGCGGUUUGAAAACCACCCGUGAACAGACAUUCCUUUGAAAUGGCAUUGAAAAACAGGAUUAGAAUUUUGUAAGGUAUUGACUAACUGGAUCAGUAGUUUGAAAAAACUGGGACAUAACUCAGUAAGGACAAAACGCAAAGCGCUGCCCUUGGUACGCGAAUGCAGGUAGGUCUGAUUGACCCUUGGUUCAGGAGAAGAGGCUGUGGAAGUACAGGAAAGCGCCAACAUAUCAGUCAGUAACAUGAAACUAUCUGGGAAGAAGAACAUGUGUACCAGUCUAAGAUAUAGCAUACAAGCUCUUAAAGUAAACAAAUCAAUUAGUCCAUUGUAUUUCCCAUAGGAAGGUCUCAACUAUGUAAGUGUAAUGUAAUGUUGAUCAACUGGAAAGAAUCCAGAAAAACGAAAGAAUGAUAAAACAGCCAGAAGACAAAGCUUUGUGAGCAAAAGAAAUGAGCAAACUGAUAUUAGAGGCUUAUUUUGGGAACAGAAAAAUUCAAUGGUGAGAUGAUAUCUUCUAAUAUAUUAAAAGCUACCACAAAGAGGAACACAGUGGGAUGUUUUCAGUAACCACUGGGAUGAGGAAAAGCAGCAAUGGGCUUAAACCAUAAUGAGGACGAUUCAGGCCAAAGAAAAAGCCUCCUAAUGGUGAAGAUAAUUAAGCAUGGAAAUUGUUUGUCUAGAAAAUCUAGAAAGCAGAAUUUUGUUAGACCAACACCUGUCUGGAUUCACAUAGAUGUAAUUCAGAGUGCUGAAGGCAGGCAGGUGCUUCUACCUACCUAAUUGCUGGAGAUUCUUUCUAGCCAUAUGUUUGCAGAUUCCUUGGUACUAUUCCAAGCACUGUCUGAGCGCUAGCUUUGGAAGCUUCUGUGUGAUUUACAUUAUAUACAGACAUUUCCUCUCCUUCCCAUUUGCAAGGCAUUUUUAUAUCUCGUAUUCACAGAAGCAAUACAUGUACAUUACGUUAUGUACCAAACAAAUCUUCACUUGUCUCCUUCCAAGUAUUUACUGUAAAAUCAAACCCAUCCUGACCAAAGAAACAGGCUUUACAGCUUUUUUUAGGCGUGCAAGAUAGCACCUCAACACACACCCUAUCAAUCACACUAAAACAGAAAACCCAAAGGUAAAACUGAGAGCUUUUGCUUUCUGUUGCCUUUCUAAUCAACCAUUAAACCCCAGUGUGGCCUUGCUAGGUUUAUUAUAUAGACACAUGGGGACUGGGGAAGAAAUCUCCAACCUUAAGGGACAAGCUAAACUCUGACGUUCUCUGCUGGAUAAAAGAAUUGUUCAGUUCCUUCAUGAGAAAAAUCACUUCCUUCAAAGUUCAAACACAGUAAAAUUAAAAUGUGUUAUAAAAUACUACUUCCUAGCAGAAAUAUUCUAUCAGAAAAUAAUUAAUUUACAAACAUGACCUCCAUAUCUUUAAAGCACACAGCACAGAUUUUAAGAUUACUUCUUUUGCUAGUCAAAAACGGUUAACAGUGGGAGCUGUACAGAUACUUUAAGGAUGUAUGUUGUAUAAUUUAAUCAGUCUCCUCCAUUUCUGAUUUGAGUAACUCACUGAAAUAUUUAUGGCCUUACCAGAACAAUGAACAUACAAGUUAUCUCUUCAGUUGUUAUUAUGCUGCUCUUUCAGUCAGGAAGAAAAGGUACAUUCUGAGUUUAUUAGCUGGAGGUCUAUUAAAGCUAUGCUGCCCUCCUGACGCUGAAGGGACAUGUUCCUAGGAUGCUAUCUCACAGGGAAUAAUUUUCUUGCUCUGACACUGAAAAACAACACAGCAGCAUGAGCAAAGUGCCAGCAAUCUGAAAAUAUUUGUGGGUCCAAUGGAGGGGAACUAUUUUGAUAUUUGGUCUCUGCAAAUACAUGUUUAAUAUCACUAUGCUAAGUAAUAAAAGUCAAGUUAGCCAGAGUGUGCCCAUCUUAAAAUUACAUCUAGAUUUAAAUGCACAUAAACCAAAAAGGCAGGGGGAAACACGCAGUGCUUACCUACCAACUUCUCCAGAGCUCUCCCAAUGAGCUACAACCAGAAAGCCAUACAACACUGCUGUAUCUUUAAUUUUAAGAACCAAACUCCUAAAGUAGAUGACAUUAUUUUUAUUGUAAUAAACAUACCAAGGAUGUGAUGUAUAAUUAAAAGGAACAUGAAUAUUGAGCAGUAUUAACUGUUCUCUAAUUAGCAACUGCUGUUUGAGAAGACUUCCUCGUAACUCUGCCACCAACUUAUAACUGUGUCAAAGGAAUGAGAAGGGACAGCUAACAGCUUGCUAAGCAUGGAGCUACGUUGGCAACUUACCAUAACGUAGUUUAAAAAAUAAACAGAAGAAAUUGAGAGAUUCCUUAUUUUGGCUGUUAAUGUAAGAUGUAAAACUUUGACUGUGAUCCAGAAAGUAACAGCAACUUAACUACCAAGAGAACAAACACCCACAGCUGCUGACCACCAGCUCCUCCCAUCACCUAUUUCUUACGUGCAAUCAGCAUACAAGGAAAAUGAAUACAAAACGUGGGCAACUGAACUUCUGCCUGUAGAUCUUCAUCAGCAUAAUGCCUACUGUGGUACCUAGGAAGAUCAAUAUAAAGCAGGGCAACAGGAUUUUUUGGAAGAUACAUUUCUGGAGAUACUUUUAGUGAACUUCACAAUGACUGCCAGAUCCCAGGCUGAAAAGAGAUUAAAGGAAAAUGAUGUCAAGAAAUAGUUCAAGAUAACACUGUGUCAGUGCCUGUGAUCAGAGAAGCAGGCAUCUGAGCACCUAAUAGAUACUGAUGGUUGGGAUUACAUCAACAAGGGCAAGAUUGUAUUUUUUAAUAGAAAAGUCAGAGGCAAAGUGAGGAAAUUAGCAGUCGGAAUACCUGAAUGCUGCAUUAUUCUGCUGAACAUUUCCAAAUGCUCAUUGCCUGCUAUUGUAUGAAGAGAUGAGUACGUUCCAGAGCUAAUCAGAUUUCUGCCAUUAUCAGUAGCAAAUACAUUUCUUUUUAAGUUUUGUAAUAGGAAAGAAGCUGCUUUCUCUAUUUUUUUUAGCAUGAUCUUCACCAUAUGGACUACUAAGUGCAGCUAGCAACUACUUUUAAAUGCUAUGGUUCCUUUGCUGAGGCAUUAUGAUCCUUUGUAAGAUGAAAGCAAUUUUCUUUAUGUCUUAAGGAGAUGGUAUUAUUCUGCAGAGCAGAAAGGCCUCCCAAGACUUACUGCCUAAAAAUAGCUAACAGCCUUUCAGGAAGAUGAAGAAUGAAUCUUUCAGGAGAUGUGCUUGAUUAUUCUAUUUAUUACUUUGAUUUACAUUGUUGGAUCUGAACAAUCCUGCAGUAGUAAGCACUGUAAAACAAAGGGGCUUGGUUUUGUUUGUUUGUAUUAUGGAGAAUCCUGGCUUAAAUCACCAAACUGACAUCACAGAACUGUCACUCAACAUACCAGGCUGAAAACUGCUCUGCGGCAUCAUUACAGACAAGGCUAUGUGUACUUGGAGAUUCAGGAAUACACGGAACUUCUUUUAAACCUCUUCCCUCAGGCAAAAUAUGAUGCUAUUGUGCAGCAGAGGUCACUCUGUGUGGUUACUGAUGCAUACGCCAUUUUCUCAUGGAUGUCAAGGAUGACUUUUCACAAGGAAAUCAGUUUUCAUUUAGAAUAACGCUCUACACCUGGAUGCGUUUCACAUCUGUUGUAAAUAAAGUAAAAAGUAGUGUGUAAUGCUGAAUGUCCAGCAGUCUAUUUUUAUCCACUUAGUCUCAGAAGUGUUCACUCCAGUUCUGUAAGAACUCAGUAACAGAUUUUAAUUUGGAGGCACUUAGCAAGGAAGUCUUCUAUGUAAUGUCUACAGGCCUUUUCUCUUUAAUGUAUGAUAUUUAUGAAAUGCUACAUACAUGAGAGCCCCCUUUUAGGACAGCACAUCUGCAAGAAAUCAGAAGAUCACACAGAGAAUGUGGUGUGAGAAUCUGGCUUAGAGGACUGCAGACUGAAUGCCAGUAGACACUGUGCUUUUAACUAUUUGUCUUUUCCUUUUUUUCCUCCUGAGAAAGAAGAAAGCUUUAAAGCUUUAAUCUCAUACAGAAGCUCAUCACAUCCCAAGUCUAUCUGUAAUGCUCUCCAAAUGAGAAUGAACUCAGAAGGAUGACGUUCAAUCUUUAAAUCCUUCUCUGCAGAGCUGUUUUUAUCUUACAGGUUGAUAGAAGGGAUCCUUGCUGUGGCUCUAGAGCUUUCUGACAUGUCUGACCUGUUCUAUUUGACAACCACAUGGUAGAAUUCAAUUGCAUUUAGAACUAGAAGUUUUCCUUGCGUGAUUUCCUGUGUAGUGUGAUAGAAACAACUUCAUGUGACAGAACAUUUCCAUUGUCACAGGUGGAAAACAAAUUCCCCUCCUCCUGGCUGCUGUUAUUAACUCAAAAAAAA